CUUAGCUGAAGUAGGAAGGAGCAUUGCAGUAUUUCCAACUCCUGCAUCUUUUUAAUAUGGAGAGACCUGAGGCUGGGUAGUUGAUCAAAGGAGAGGACUUUGCAUUUUGUGCAAUUAUACAAGGAAAUGCUGACCAGCUUCCUGAGCUGCCCAUCUGUCAUCCAAGAUGGAAAUCUAGCUCCUCCGUAGUGAGAAAUUGCAAGCUCCUUGAGAUCUGAGUGAGGUUGAAGACGUUCAAGCACGGUCUCUUCUGCUGCUUCAUCUUGUGAACUGACUUCUCUGCUAGUCCACUCAAAAACUAUCUUCUCAAGCCUCUCCUUCUCAUUCAGUUUAGCCUCUGCUGCAUCAACUGCAUUUUCAAGGUUUGAAAUAUGCAAUGUUCCUGUAAGAUGCGCCAUCUCUUUCAAUUGUCUGAGUUCAUAUCCAGUCUGGUUGCCAACCCUGAAUGUGUGCAGAUUGUGCAGCCCUUUUAAGCUUCCAAUAUUUGGUGGCAAAGUUUUGCAUUUGAACCAGNNNNNNNNNNNAACUCAAGAAAACAGAGAUUAACCAAAUUGCCAAGGUCCUUAGGGAGCUCGAAAAGCCAAA
rnacentral:misc_RNA from 1 species